rnacentral:rRNA from 1 species
UGAGAGUGGGUAGUCCGCACGAGCGCACCUUACUUUUAGUUGCCAUCAUUUAGUUGGGCACUCUGAAAGAACUGCCAGUGAUUAGCUGGAGGAAGGUGGGGAUGACGUCAAGUCCUCAUGGCCCUUAUGUGUUGGGCUACACACGUGCUACAAUGGUAUCUACAACAGGAAGCAAGAUGGCAACAUUAAGCAAAUCCCAAAAAGAUACCUCAGUUCGGAUUGCACUCUGCAACUCGAGUGCAUGAAGCUGGAAUUACUAGUAAUCGUGGAUCAGCGUGCCACGGUGAAUACGUUCCCGGGUCUUGUACACACCGCCCGUCACACCAUGGGAGUUGGUUCUACCUUAAGGCAAGGUUUAAUACCCUUGACCACGGUAUAGUCAGCGACUGGGGUGAAGUCGUAACAAGGUAGCCGUAGGGGAACCUGCGGCUGGAUUACCUCCUUUCU